GAUCCCCAUGGAUCCCCACCAUCCACCCCAGUCACUCCCAGUGGAUCCCAGCGAUCCCCACCAUCCAUCCCAGUGAUCCCCAUGGAUCCCCACCAUCCACCACAGUCACUCCCAGUGGAUCCCAGCGAUCCCCAUAGAUCCCCACCAUCCAUCCCAGUCAAUCCCAGUGGAUCCCAUCCAUCCAUCCCAGUCAACCUCAUCAAUCCCAAUGGAUCCCCACCAUCCAUCCCAAUCAAUCCCAGUGGAUCCCGGGUGCCGCUGGGGGUGGCAGAAGGUCGGAUUUAGCUCUGUCCAUAAAGCUUAUUUCAGGGUGGGGAAUGCAAAUCCUCGGGGGAUGCAUUCCCUGCCAUCCAGUCCGACAUAGGAACGGUUCCUUUAACGGUACAGCUGAAUUACUGGAGCGGUUUCAGGUCUUUUCGUGCAGGCAAACGAGUUUCCCAAAGUCUACUUGAAGAAUAGGAAUGAGAACAAAUCCCUUUUCCAGGCCCACACUACAUUUCAUCUCAGCCCCGCUGCCUCCCCGCGCUGACAGCGGGGCCGGGGCGCGGGGACAAAAUAAGCUCCUGUUUAUGGGGGAAACGCCGCGGCUGAGCCCCGCUCCCGACCCGGCUCCGCGGGGCAGGGGCGUCCCUUCAGUCGGUUUUUAAAUCCAAGGCUGCGAGGUCGUUCUGUACAGGAUGACUUUGUAAAGAGUUUGAUUAAUAAAAGCUCAAAAAUAAGGAA
ensembl:lncRNA